UACGUAGGGGCAAGCGUUGUCCGGAAUCAUUGGGCGUAAAGAGCGUGUAGGCGGUCCGGUAAGUCGGCUGUGAAAGUCCAGGGCUCAAACCCUGGGGAUGCCGGUCGAUACUGCCGGACUAGAGUUCGGAAGAGGCGAGUGGAAUUCCCGGUGUAGCGGGUGAAAUGCGUAGAUAUCGAGAGGAACACCUGCGGCGAAGGCGGGUUGCUGGGCCGACACUGACGUUGA
rnacentral:rRNA from 1 species